rnacentral:lncRNA from 1 species
GUGAAUUUGUGUUUAUAAAGCUGCAGGAGGCAACACAGUGAGAAGAGCAGCCAACAGAGCUGGAAAGUGCUCAGCUGGCUUUCAGUCACUGUAUUCCCUGUGAUCCUUUUAGACAUUUUGUAGGAGAAACCCAACAUGAGAAUACUUUUAAUUCUUACUGCCAUAGCUGUGGUGUCAAGGGCCCAGACUGACUGCUCUGGAGGGGCUUGUUACCCACCUGUGGAGGACCUGCUCCUGGGCAGGGCCAACCAGCUCCAUGCGUCCUCCACCUGUGGCCUCAUGGGCUCUGAGAGCUACUGCACCCCUUAUGUACAGGCUCAGAUGAAGUGUUGUCCAUGUGACUCCCGGAGCCCAAAUGGUCCACUGGCCCACACUGUGCAGGACGCCCUGUCCACCUCAGGACCAGACAGAUGGUGGCAAUCCAAGAAAGGUGUAAGUCCAGUUACUCUCCAGCUGGACCUUGGCAGCCUGUUCCAGCUUGACAACCUGGUGCUCAGUUUCAAGGGUCCUCGUCCCAGUGCCUUUGUCAUAGAAAAAACGCUGGACAAUGGCCGAACAUGGCAGCCUGCUCUCUACUUGGCCACAGACUGCCCAAAAUCCUUUCCAGGCGUCUCCACAACAACACCUCUCUCCAUGGAUGAGACGUACUGCUCCACACUGCCCCCUGCUGGAGCAAACCCAUACCAAGAUCACACUAUCCAGUUCCGUCCUCUGCGUCAGUACAUUUAUGUCCCAGUUCCAGGCAGCCAAAAAAUUGAAGAUGUGUCUGGCUUGACAGGGUUGAGGGUGAGGCUGACAGAGCUCGGCGAUGUCCCGCAUCUCCCAGGCAGAGCGCUGAGCAGGUUCUACGCCCUGAAGGAGAUGAGGGUGAUGGGCAGCUGCAUGUGCCACGGACACGCCAAGCGCUGCCUGCCAGACACCAGCCAGGCUCAGUCCAACACCGUACAGGUGGGUCCUCUGUGUGACUGCCAGCACAACACCGCAGGUGUGAACUGUGAGUAUUGUGCUGAUCUCUACAACGAUCUUGCCUGGAGGCCUGCGGAGGAAGGAAACACUCGUGCCUGCAAACGAUGCGAGUGCAACAACCACGCCCACCGCUGUCACUUUGACCCGGCGGUGUUUGAGGCCAGUGGGCGGAGAAGCGGCGGUGUGUGUGAGAACUGUGUGCACCACACCACAGGAGCCCAGUGUGAGCAGUGUGCUGCAGGCUACCAGCCCAACCCGCGCAGCACAAUGGACCGGCCGGACGCCUGCAUACGCUGUAUGUGCAGCGCUGAGGGCACAGUGAACGGGGGCCAGUGUGAGGGCAGCUCAGGCUCAUGUCAGUGUAAGGCCAAUGUCGAAGGUCCCUACUGUGAGCGCUGCAAGAGAGGCUACUAUGGCCUGACGGCCUCCAACCCUCUGGGAUGCUCCAAGUGUUCCUGCUCAUCAGACACAUCACUGUCAGAUGCCUGUGAUCCUGUGACCGGCCAGUGUCUCUGCCGCCCCCAUUUCCACGGGCUCAGUUGUGAAGCAUGUUCAACAGGCUACUGGAAAGCGUUCCCAUCCGGAGGCUGUGUGUCCUGCAGCUGUGACCCCACCCGUUCAUACAGUGACGCCUGUGACCAGGUGACAGGUCAGUGCCAGUGCAGACCAGGCUUCGGGGGCCGAACAUGUACAGAGUGCCCACAAAACUCAUACGGGGACCCACGUGUCCGCUGCCGACCAUGUCAGUGUGACACUGAAGGAACUCUUCCAGAGGUGUGUGAUCCGCAGACGGGCGCCUGCCUGUGUAAGGCCGGAGUCACAGGAGCUCGCUGCGAUGCCUGCGGACGAGGACGCUGUGACUCCUUCCCUGCCUGCGAGACGUGUCCCUCCUGCUUCUUCACUCUGGACGCACAGAGGCAGAAGCUCAGCUUUGCUCUGGAGAAGCUGUCGCCUGCCUUCCCCUUUCCUCCCGCGGGAGGUGUUGAGGCAGACGGGCUGCGGCCGCGCGUCUUGGCCCUGGAGGCCAAGCUGAGCCUGAUCCGGGACUCUGUGCCGCUGUCCCCUAGUUCUGCCAAACAGGUUGCUGGUGCCCUGUCCCUGUUGGACGAGCUCAGGAACCAAAUGGGGAAAGUUAAUGAUGAUCUGACGCCCCUGAGGAAAGCUCCCAGUCAGGAAUCAGAGCUGAACAAACUACAGGAUCUGCUGGACAGCCUCACGGAGGUGUACAACGCCAAGAAAGACGCCAGUGCAACGUCACGCGAUCCUAACAUCGCAGGAGCCUUUUCUGCCAUCAAGAACGCCUACGAUGACUCCACAGAUGCAGCGAAGAAGGUAAAUGCCAGCAGAGACACUGUGAAGGAGUCGGCUGGUGUCAGAAACGAAACCAUGGACCUUCAGAAGCAGAUACAGCCAGCAAACACUAGAGACCUGGACAAGCUGAACCGAAGCAUGGCCUCCACACCAGACCUCACUCCUGCUGCCAAACAGGUAUGUGGCAGUGAGCGGUCAGAGCCGUGCACCCCUCUCCAUUGUGAAGGUGGGUCUUUGUGUCCACCGACAGGAGCCCCACUUUGUGAAAAAGGGCCAGAGUGUUUGGGCGCUCUGCCGCUGAGCAAGAGGGCCUACGCUGAUGCUCAGGACGUGAAGGAGCGUCUGGACAAACUCAGUGUGAACAUAACGAAGGCUGCAGAAAAGCUACAGGAAACACAGGAGACAACCAAUCAGGUGAGAGAAGCUGCAGAAGAGCUGUUCAAUAAGAUGAAGGUGUCCAGAGAUGAACUAGAGGAUGGCUUGAAAGACCUGCGUGAUGUUGUGAAAGAGUUAAAAAAUUUCCUGUCAGACCCAUCUUCAAACCUGACACAGAUCCAGGACUUGAGUGAGUGGAUCUUGAAAGCCCAGCUGCCUCUCAGCCUGGCUCCUCUGAAGACAAAGCUGGAUGAGCUGAAGAAGCUGGCAGCCAGUCUCCCAGACAGCACAGCUGUGCUGAAGGAGGCCGAGCCACAGCUGGACAAGGCCAGGAACCUGCUGCAGGAUGCCAAGGAUGCCAGGGACACAGCAGUAGGGGUAAAGGCUGAUGUCGAUGGAUUGCUACAUACCUUUGGGCCAGUAGAGGAGUCCAUCUCUGCCAUAGAGGACAAACUACAGGACUUUACUGAUGUCAUAAAGAACCUUAGUGACAGCUUAACUAAGGUCAAAGACCAGGUGACCCCAGCAGAGAAAGCUCUAAAUGACGUGUCAGAGCUGAUAAACCCAAUGAAACCUCAACUGGACGAGCUCAAAGAUCUGCUGCAGAAUGGAAGCCAGCUGGCGCAAGAUGCUCAGGACAACGCAGACAAAGCGAAGGAGGAAGCGGAGGCUGGCAACAAGGACCUGUUGACUUUGGGGGAGAAGCUGAACCUUCUUAAGGACCAGGCUCCUCCCAGCGGGUCUGGUGGAGACGUACCGGUUGGGGAACGCCUGAUGAAACUGCAGCAGGCUGCUGGAGCCUUGGCCAACAGCACCGAAACCAUGAUGGAGGCCAUGGAAGGUAAAGCAGAUAUCCUGAGGGGGCUUCAGGAGGAGAUCCUUCAAAAGUCAACACGGCUUGAAGGACUUGACACAAAGCUUAAAGACCUUUUAGCACAACUUCGGAAGAAAGCCAACGACCUCAGCAGCUGCCAGGGCUGAAACGCAGCAAACUGCCUGCACGACGCCUGUCACUGCAACCAGCACUUCACACUAGUCGCGUUCCACUUCCAGAAGCCAGCUCUGAUGUACUAGAGAAGAGGUCCUCUAUUAAUUCAAGAGCAGUAACACUCUUUAAAAGUUUUAUAUCACUUUUUUUUGUUUUUGUAGUUUUGUUACCUGCCGCACUUCAUUGUGAACAAUACAUAAUUACAAUAUUUGAUAUUUCGGAGCUGAACAAAGGAUGAAUGUUAUUGAACAUUAUUUAUUUUCCACUUUGCAUUUGUCGUUUGUUCAAAAUCCACAUAAUCCACAUAAAUGCUAUAAUGCAACAACAUAUAAAUGACUCUAGGUGACUAGUAGCCACAUAUUUAUAUAAAAAUAAAUAAAUAAAAAAAAAAUCA